rnacentral:rRNA from 1 species
AGUGAACGCUGGCGGUAGGCCUAACACAUGCAAGUCGAACGGCAGCACAGUAAGAGCUUGCUCUUACGGGUGGCGAGUGGCGGACGGGUGAGGAAUACAUCGGAAUCUACUUUUUCGUGGGGGAUAACGUAGGGAAACUUACGCUAAUACCGCAUACGACCUACGGGUGAAAGCAGGGGAUCUUCGGACCUUGCGCGAUUGAAUGAGCCGAUGUCGGAUUAGCUAGUUGGCGGGGUAAAGGCCCACCAAGGCGACGAUCCGUAGCUGGUCUGAGAGGAUGAUCAGCAACACGGCAAAGAGGACACGGCCCAACCCCCGGGGGGAGACACGGGGGGGAAAAUUUGGACAGGGGGCAGAAGCGUAUACCAGCCAACCGGGGGGGGGAAAAAAGCCCCUGGGGGUGUAAAUCCUUUUGGUUGGAAAAAAAAAACACCAGUUUAACCCCCCCGUUUUUGACGGGACCCAAAGAAAAAACCCCCGCUAAAUUCGUU